rnacentral:rRNA from 1 species
UUUACGCGUUCUAUAUGGUCCGUCAUUUAAAUAGCAUUCAAUUUGUAUCCGCCCACAAGUGUUGCCAAUAUAUAUGGUCACUGAUUUGACGGGAUACCAAAUACUUCUAGUACGCUAAUACGAGUGGGAGCGUCUGCCAUAUUAUGGUCGCUUUGGCUAUGUGGAAACGAUUGUGUCUUUAAUGGCAAAAACUUUUCUCAUGUGCAGGUUAUUUAACGUUGUACACACUGGCUUCGUAUAUGGUCUAUGCUACAAACGAAUGGAGUAUCAAUUGUUGUUCAAGGCGAUGUGUCUGCGGUUGGGACGGGUGGCCAGGGAGGUUUUUACCCAACAUGGGUGGCAACGUAA